rnacentral:rRNA from 1 species
CUACGGGUUGCUCCAGUGGGGAAUAUUGCACAAUGGGGGAAACCCUGAUGCAGCAACGCCGCGUGGAGGAUGACGCAUUUCGGUGUGUAAACUCCUUUUAUAUAGGAAGAUAAUGACGGUACUAUAUGAAUAAGCACCGGCUAACUCCGUGCCAGCAGCCGCGGUAAUACGGAGGGUGCAAGCGUUACUCGGAAUCACUGGGCGUAAAGCGCGCGCAGGCGGCCCCUUAAGUUGGAUGUGAAAGCCUACGGCUUAACCGUAGAACUGCAUCCAAAACUGAGGGGCUAGAGUCUGGGAGGGGAAGAUGGAAUUAGUUGUGUAGGGGUAAAAUCCGUAGAGAUAACUAGGAAUACCAAAAGCGAAGGCGAUCUUCUGGAACAGUACUGACGCUGAGGCGCGAAAGCGUGGGGAGCAAACAGGAUUAGAUACCCGGGUAGUC